rnacentral:rRNA from 1 species
GAUGAACGCUGGCGGCGUGCCUAAUACAUGCGAGUCGAGCGAACAGACGAGGAGCUUGCUCCUCUGACGUUAGCGGCGGACGGGUGAGUAACACGUGGAUAACCUACCUAUAAGACUGGGAUAACUUCGGGAAACCGGAGCUAAUACCGGAUAAUAUAUUGAACCGCAUGGUUCAAUAGUGAAAGACGGUUUUGCUGUCACUUAUAGAUGGAUCCGCGCCGCAUUAGCUAGUUGGCAAGGUAACGGCUUACCAAGGCGACGAUGCGUAGCCGACCUGAGAGGGUGAUCGGCCACACUGGAACUGAGACACGGUCCAGACUCCUACGGGAGGCAGCAGUAGGGAAUCUUCCGCAAUGGGCGAAAGCCUGACGGAGCAACGCCGCGUGAGUGAUGAAGGUCUUCGGAUCGUAAAACUCUGUUAUUAGGGAAGAACAAAUGUGUAAGUAACUAUGCACGUCUUGACGGUACCUAAUCAGAAAGCCACGGCUAACUACGUG